AUUGAACGCUGGCGGAAUGCUUUACACAUGCAAGUCGAGCGGCAGCGCGGCCUUCGGGCUGGCGGCGAGCGGCGAACGGGUGAGUAAUGCAUCGGAACAUGCCCAGUCGUGGGGGAUAACACUUCGAAAGAAGUGCUAAUACCGCAUACGUCCUGAGGGGGAAAGCGGGGGAUCGCAAGACCUCGCGCGAUUGGAGUGGCCGAUGUCAGAUUAGCUAGUUGGUGGGGUAAAGGCCUACCAAGGCGACGAUCUGUAGCUGGUCUGAGAGGAUGAUCAGCCACACUGGGACUGAGACACGGCCCAGACUCCUACGGGAGGCAGCAGUGGGGAAUUUUGGACGAUGGGGGCAACCCUGAUCCAGCCAUUCCGCGUGAGUGAAGAAGGCCUUCGGGUUGUAAAGCUCUUUCGGCAGGAACGAAACGGUGGGCUCUAACAUAGUCCGCUAAUGACGGUACCUGAAGAAGAAGCACCGGCUAACUACGUG
rnacentral:rRNA from 1 species